rnacentral:rRNA from 1 species
UACGUAGGGCGCAAGCGUUGUCCGGAAUUAUUGGGCGUAAAGAGCUCGUAGGCGGCUUGUCACGUCGGAUGUGAAAGCCCGAGGCUUAACCUCGGGUCUGCAUUCGAUACGGGCUAGCUAGAGUGUGGUAGGGGGGAUCGGAAUUCCUGGUGUAGCGGUGAAAUGCGCAGAUAUCAGGAGGAACACCGGUGGCGAAGGCGGAUCUCUGGGCCAUUACUGACGCUGAGGAGCGAAAGCGUGGGGAGCGAACAGG